UAGUUAAUGGCUGACCUCCAAUUGUACCAUUUGCCCCACGUUCUUUGUUUCCCACCUCAAUAUCAGUGGCAACUCCGUGCUUGUAUUCCUCGUCCAUCUUUGGAACUGAGAGUAUAUGGUUUAGAUACUUGGAAUCGGGAUGAGGUCUUUUAGACGCUUCAGCAAUCUGAUCAGCACCGGGAGACAUGGAAGAAGUCUUUGGAUUAGACAUAGCCAAUGGCUGACCUUUAAUGGUACCAUUGGCCCCACGUUCUUUGUUUCCCACCUCAAUAUCAGUGGCAACUCCGUGCUUGUACCCCUCGUCCAUCUUUGGAACUGAGAGUAUCUGGUUUAGAUACUUGGAAUCGGGAUGAGGUCUUUUAGACGCUUCAGCUAUCUGAUCAGCACCAGGAGACAUGGAAGAAGUCUUCCGCUUAGACAUAGCCAAUGGCUGACCUUUAAUUGUACCAUUGAUCCCGCGUUCUUUGUUUCCCACCAAAAUAUCAGUGGCAACUCCUUGCUUG
rnacentral:lncRNA from 1 species